rnacentral:rRNA from 1 species
UACGAGAGGCCCAAACGUUAUUCGGAAUUACUGGGCGUAAAGCGCACGUAGGCGGAUAUUUAAGUCAGGGGUGAAAUCCCGGGGCUCAACCCCGGAACUGCCUUUGAUACUGGGUAUCUCGAGUCCGAGAGAGGUGAGUGGAAUUCCGAGUGUAGAGGUGAAAUUCGUAGAUAUUCGGAGGAACACCAGUGGCGAAGGCGGCUCACUGGCUCGGUACUGACGCUGAGGUGCGAAAGCGUGGGGAGCAAACAGG